rnacentral:rRNA from 1 species
AUUGAACGCUGGCGGCAGGCCUAACACAUGCAAGUCGAACGAGUGGAGGAAGGGUGAGUAAUGUAUGGGAAACUGCCCGAUGGAGGGGGAUAACUACUGGAAAAGGUAGCUAAUACCGCAUACCAUCGGAUGUGCCCAGAUGGGAUUAGCUAGUAGGAGGGGGAACGGCUCACCUAGGCGAAGAUCCCGAGCUGGUCUGAGAGUAUGACCAGCCACACUGGAACUGAGACACGGUCCAGACUCCUACGCGAGGCAGCAGUGGGGAAUAUUGCACAAUGGGCGCAAGCCUGAUGCAGCCAUGCCGCGUGUAUGAAGAAGGCCUUCGGGUUUUAAAGUACUUUCAGCGAGGAGGCGUUACUCGCAGAAGAAGCACCGGCUAACUCCGUGCCAGCAGCCGCGGUAAUAC